UACAGAGGUGGCAAGCGUUGUUCGGAAUUACUGGGCGUAAAGGGCGCGUAGGUGGCCUUCUUAGUCAGACGUGAAAUCCCCAGGCUUAACCUGGGAACUGCGUCUGAUACUGGAAGGCUUGAGUUCGGGAGAGGAAUGUGGAAUUCCAGGUGUAGCGGUGAAAUGCGUAGAUAUCGGAAGGAACAUCAGUGGCGAAAGCGACUGCCUGGCCAAAUACUGACGCUCAUGUGCGAAAGCGUGGGGAGCAAACAGGAGUUAGAAACCCUUGAUACGU
rnacentral:rRNA from 1 species